rnacentral:rRNA from 1 species
AUUGAACGCUGGCGGCAGGCUUAACACAUGCAAGUCGAGCGGGGUGAUGGUGCUUGCACUAUCACUUAGCGGCGGACGGGUGAGUAAUGCUUAGGAAUCUGCCUAUUAGUGGGGGACAACAUCUCGAAAGGGAUGCUAAUACCGCAUACGUCCUACGGGAGAAAGCAGGGGAUCACUUGUGACCUUGCGCUAAUAGAUGAGCCUAAGUCGGAUUAGCUAGUUGGUGGGGUAAAGGCCUACCAAGGCGACGAUCUGUAGCGGGUCUGAGAGGAUGCUCCGCCACACUGGGACUGAGACACGGCCCAGACUCCUACGGGAGGCAGCAGUGGGGAAUAUUGGACAAUGGGGGGAACCCUGAUGCAGCCAUGCCGCGUGUGUGAAGAAGGCCUUAUGGUUGUAAAGCACUUUAAGCGAGGAGGAGGCUCUUUUGGUUAAUACCCAAGAUGAGUGGACGUUACUCGCAGAAUAAGCACCGGCUAACUCUGUGCCAGCCGCCGCAGUAA